rnacentral:lncRNA from 1 species
GCAAUAAUAUAAAAGGAAAUAUUUCAUUAAUUAAAAACAAGACAUCAAAUAACUAUUCACAUAUUCAAAAAUCUGAAUCCAUUCAACUUCAAUAGUAUCACUAUUAACUAUCUCUAGGUGAGAGAAAAAUUUAGAAAGAACUCUUCCAUAUGGUAUGAGAAAAGUCAUUUACUCCAUAGAGAUGAUUAUCAUUUCCUUUCAGAAGUUAAAAAUGAUAAGAGGAAGAUUAACUCUGAUGUUCUUGGUAAGGAAUAGCAAAAGAUGCUUGUCAUCCCAAGUGAGCAUUUCUAGUUGUUUCUCUCUUGGACAAAGAUUUGACACUAGAAUUUGAUACAAAACUUUUCCAAUUAGUAGUAGAGUAGCAGGGUUGUUGAGAUUAUCGUAGUUGAAAUAAAUUAGACGAAAGUGAUAUGAAUAGACUUUGUUAAAUCUAGAAUUUUCAACACAACAACCUUCCUCUUCACAGUUUGUUGUUUUAGCAAUAAGUGGCUGAGUAAUUGUGAUAGGAGAGUUGUUGACAUAAGACUAGAUUGACUCAACAUCAUGACCAGAUGGCCCAACAGAGACAUUUAACUAGAACUCUUUAACAAGAUUAAUGUAGAUAGGUCCAUGAAGAAUGUCAAAGUAACCAUUCAACUUUUGUUUGCGAAUAGUUUUCCUUAGAUCAAAACCUUUGUCUUUCAAAUCACCAAAAUUAACAAACUUUUCAUUGAUAACGAACAAAAUAUUUUCAUCUAAGAUUGUUGAAGACAUUUUUGAAGAAAAGAAAAAAAAAUUGAAACUAGGUUUGAAGACACAAAUAGUUGGAAAUGAGGCGUUGAAACUAAGAAUAGUCUUUAAAUAAAUUGGAGAAUAGGAAGUGAAACAA